CCUACGGGUGGCAGCAGUGAGGAAUAUUGGUCAAUGGGCGCGAGCCUGAACCAGCCAAGUCGCGUGAGGGAAGACGGUCCUAUGGAUUGUAAACCUCUUUUGUCGGGGAGCAAAAUGCGCCACGCGUGCCUUUCCGAGCGUACCCUAUGAAUAAGCAUCGGCUAACUCCGUGCCAGCAGCCGCGGUAAUACGGGGGAUCCGAGCGUUAUCCGGAUGUAUUGGGUUUAAAGGGUGCGCAGGGGGAAGAUAAAGUCAGUGGGAAAAUUUUGCGGCUAAACCUCUUAGAGCCGUUGAAACUGGUAGUCUUGAGUGCGGGAGAAGUAGGCGGAAUUCGUGGUGUAGCGGUGAAAUGCAUAGAUAUCACGAAGAACUCCGAUUGCGAAGGCAGCAUACUGGAGCGCAACUGACGUUGAUGCACGAAAGUGUGGGUAUCGAACAGGAUUAGAUACCCUAGUAGUC
rnacentral:rRNA from 1 species